rnacentral:rRNA from 1 species
CCGACCGCGACCCCAGGUCAGGCGGGACUACCCGCUGAAUUUAAG